AUCGAAUUAAAAUCACACACCCUAAACUUUGGUGAUUUUUAUAUAAAUACUCAUAAAAUUAACCAAGUAAGACAUCUUUUGCUUUUGCCCAAAGAAAAGCCGCAAGGUUAUGAGCGUUGGUGCCCAGCUGAUGCAGAAAAAUGAUAAACCUACUUUUCAAGAUUUCGAGAUGCUCCUACUUGGGUUUAGGGUACUGAGAGCUUAAUAAACUUCACAAAUUUAUAAAGCUUCGAACUUCGAAGGUUAAGUGCCUUCAACGGUUUUCAUUUUUGUCAACUAAGCCCCUUUACCCUAGGAUGACAAACAACUUUAUACCUGUUUCAUUACAUUGUCCAGAUUUCUGCAUCCUAUACAUUUUAUUGACAAGUACUAAUAUAAACAAAACAACAGAAUUGCACUAGAUAUUAUAAGAAAGAAAAUCACGAUGACGGAUUAUCAGAUCCACAUUUGCUUCCAAUCAAUACGGCGUCCCCAUUUAACACGGUUAGAUAUGCUAUGAUGUUGAUAUUGUGAGACGUGAACAUGGAUUCACGUUAUCUCAUUACUUGUCAAUCGUCUGCUAUUUUGUCUGUGCCUGUGUAUUUUUUCCGUCUUGGUUUUGUAAGGUUUAUUUUACAUAUUUCAUCACAUGUAUUUCAACAGGGAUCAACCAUUCUAAUAUCAGCAAAAGCUAUCAGCAACUUUUUCCAUUUCCAUGGCCACAUAAUCUUCAUCUUUCUUCUCAUCCUCUGAUUUCUCAACCUUCAAUUUCUUAAUCCCCACAGAUGUCUGCUUUGUCAUUCGUGCAAACAUGUUUGAGUAGAGUUUUGCAUCUCUCUUGUUGCUUUGAGCUUGAAGUUGUUUAAGUGCUGUUUGAAGUGAUUUCACCUCCCUGAAAAGAGUAUGUUAGUGAAUGAAACUACUGAAAAAGCUCACAUUUGAAUUUCUAACUUAAGGAUAUUCUGCCACCUGUUCUGAGGAUCAACUUCAAGUGCCUUCUUAAUGUCUAGCUCAGCUGAGACCAAAUCUGCAGUUUGCAUAUAUGCUUGUGCUCGCCUAUACAAAGCUUUUACAUUGUUGAACUCAAUAUCCAGUACCUGUUGGAGAUCAAAAUUUAGAACAUAAGAUGAUAUUUUGUCUCCAAUUUUACUUGUCAGGCUACAGAAUAUAUCAUGUUGAAUGCCCAGACUUUUGGCCCUUGAUAACCACUUGUAACCACCACUGAACAUCAAAUUCAAAAUAUAAUAAAUAAUAGUUAUAAUAAUAACAAAAUAAUAACUACCACUGCACUUAUCAAACCAUCACCAGUUCAAGUAUGUAGUUCAUGGGAGUAGAUGCACAAUCCCAGUAUUUGAAUGAGAGUAAACAUUUGGAAUCCUAUUAUAUCCUCUUUCCAAGAAAUUAUGGCAGUGCCUCUCACUGUGACACAUUGCUGACAGCUAAAGGCAUUUGUAGCAGACUAGCAGGACCAACAAGUCAGACGAACCAAAAGCAAUAACUCAUGGGUCUUCAGGGGGAAAAUCCUGUUACUAGAUCUCUAACCCCUAGGAUAUAACUGGUUUCUAAAAUUACAAGUUCAUACAGUAUGAUUUCAGGCAGAAUAUUGUCCUCGCAGUUAACUUCAGAGGUCUCAUGCCUCAAAAACACACAACUUUUAUGUUUUAUAUUUUACUGUCCAUAUUCUGAUAUCUUGGGAAAAGUUUUGACAUUUGAAGUUUCAAAGAAUCUGACUUUUUCAAAUUUAACAAGCUCAUGGUCAUUCUUUUUCUUUUAGCACCUCACCUUUGAACAUAAACUAAUUGCUCCCUGGAAAUCAUCAAGUUUGAGGCCACAUGCCGCUCCAUUCAACCAGCAAGACGCCCUUAAUGAUUUAACUAGCUUUUGCUCAUCAUCUCCAAAGGAUCCCUCUUCAACAACAUAGUCUGCAGCCUAAUAAUAUGGACAAACAAAUAAAAUAGAACCAAAAUCCCCAUGAUCCUUGACAAGUUUAUUUAAAAAUGAUGAUGAUGAACUCAAAGCUGCCUACCUUAUCAUACUUCUUUGCCGCUCUUUGAUAUUUCCCACUUUUAAAUAGUAUAUUGCCUUCUUCUUUCUUUCUACAAGCAGUUUCAAUUUUCAUCUGAUUGUUCAUCUCCCAUGGUGGUCUUUCCUUUAUAAAAUCUAACAUUUCAACUUCAUAGAGUAACACUGAAGAAGGAGGUAUAGUAGCAAGAUCUUUCUUCACUUCGAAGUUUCCAAAACCAUAUUCAGGAUUUAUGGUCAAUAUUGCCCUCUCCCCAAUCUUCAUUGUUGCUGCUGCACGAUCUAAACCAGCAAUCACUUGUUCUUCAUCUGUAAUAAAUUGCAGAGGCUGCUCCCCAUCAAGCCCUUUCUUUUCAAAUACAGUUCCAUCUUGUAACCUGGCUGUGUAGCUAAUAGUUACAGUGGCACCUUCAUUUGCAACAAGAGUGCCCUCCCCUUCUUUCAAGAUCUUCUUGAAGACCUUGGAAUCCCCAGUAACAUCAACAACAGGCUUGAAGGACACCAACUCCAGAUCUAUGUUCAGCACUGAAUUUGGUGGGACUGGAUGGAUACCAUCACUAGCUUCCUUUCCCUCCUCUCCAAAUGCAUUUAUCUACUCAUCUUCUGCAGCAUCAGCAUUCCCUUCAUUGACCCAAAAUUGUGGUACAUGUACAUAGACUAUUUCCUGCUUAGAGAUCUCACUUGGUACUAGAGCUCCUACAUUUUCAGUCCCAGAUACAGAUAAAAUGUACAGUUUAAGUUCUGGAACACUAAAACGAGAGUAAAAUGUACAGUUUAAGUUCUGGAACACUAAAACGAGAGUAAGACAUUUUAAGCUCUGGAACACUAAAACGAGACUAAGUUAAUGAAUGCUUAAAAAAACAAUUAAGUACCUCAUGGUAUGAUAAGCCAUGAGAAUUUAAUGUUUAUCUUGGAUAUAGGAUGAUUGACAAUAAACAAAAAUAAGAUUUCUUUCUUUUUAUUCAAUAAUUAAGGAGGAAUUUAUCAGUAAGAUUCAGACCUUGGUGCUCACUUCAAGAUAGCCUAACCUAGCCGCCUCUACCGCUAGACCAAGGCACCAGAUGAAAAAAAAAAAAAAACCAAAAUAUUACAAAUUACACACACAUACAUAGACAUAUAUGGAAAAUAUUAUUUAAGUAGUCUAGGCUGUUAUCUUUUCUACAAGUAACAUCAAGUUUAACAUGUUUGUGAGUAGCAAAAGUUGAAAAGCACUACUUCCCACCAUCAACUCCAGUAAGACCAUGGGAAAUGGUCUUUCAAUAUCAACCAAGUCCUAAUUUCUAUCUCAUAAUUGACAAAUAGAUAUAACGUACACGGAAGUGCUAAGAAUCACUUGGAAGUUAGUUUUCAAUGUUAACAACACUUAGUCACUAAGUCACCAUUUCUAUCUCCUAACUGAUGAGAGCUAUUGUUAAUCAUUACCUCAAAUUAGGCUAACAAUGGCACUCAUAUGAUCUAAGGAUUUUCCCUCCACAGUCCACACACAAAAAAAAUGAUAAUAAUAAAAUAAAAGAUAGCUUCAAAUUGUGUGUUAAAGUUCAUAUAAGAAUUCUUAGGAAUCUAUUUCUACUAAUUUGUGUUAAAGUUCAUAUAAGAAUUCUUAGGAAUCUAUUUCUACUAAUUAACAAGCAGAAAAUCCACUACAGUACAGCUAUUUGCUAAUAAUGAUUAGAAAACAUACAUUGAGGUUGGACAAUUAGUUUAACCUUCUCUCCUCUUUUCAUGGUUAUGAUCGCUUUUGGAAAUGCAGGACAUAGAUGACCAUCUUUUACAUGAAAUUCGAAUCCUUCUUCAGGUGUUUUUGCAACAACAGUACCAUUGGCAAGUGCCACUUCAUACUUCACAAGGACUUCAUCUAAGUCACUGGGACGCUCAAUCUUCUCCCCCCUCUCAAUAAUUUUCUUGAUAAUUCCACGGUCUUUGCUCACAUUCACCACUGUGAUCCAAGAAAUGAGUUCAACCUCAAACAGAACGACAGUAUUUGCAGGCACACCUUCACGGCCCACGAAUCCAUAGGCCAAUUCAGGGGGCACUGUAAACAAUGCACAUUCCCCCUUUUUCAUGGUAAUUAUCCCAUGAUCCAACCCUGCUACCACUUGACCUUGACCAAGUCUAAGAGUCACAGGUUCAUCUCUAUCGCGCGUAGAAUCGAACUUGGUCCCAUCAAGCAAAGUACCCCCAUAGUGAACUGUAACUUCGUCAUUGAACUCAGGGGUUUCCCAGCCUAGGCCGCGCUUGAGGAGCUUCUUUUUGAAACCAGAGUUAUUGAGCUCCCUUUCUUCGCCUACCUUAAGAGGGGGAGCCGAUUCGAUCACCUCCCCUGGUUCUUCAUCGAGCUCGUCCUUGUCCUCAAUGUCUGACAAGUGUAACCCGUUCUCUAUACCCAUUCCUUAAUUCAAUCCUCCGACGAUCGAUACCACUGAGAUUUUGAAAUUUUGCAGGCGAUAGACGCAGUAGUUUCUGGACAGUGUGACUGAUUGGGCGAUAUCAAUACUAAAUUGGAUCCUGUAUGGUUUCACAUGGCUCUUCUAGUGUACCAUCAAAUUUAGAAGCUGAUGGC
rnacentral:misc_RNA from 1 species